rnacentral:rRNA from 1 species
AUUGAACGCUGGCGGCAUGCUUUACACAUGCAAGUCGGACGAGUGGCGAAUGGGUGAGUAAUAUAUCGCAACGUACCGAGUAAUGGGGGAUAACUAAUCGAAAGAUUAGCUAAUACUGCAUAUUAUUCGAGCGGCCGAUAUCUGAUUAGCUAGUUGGUGGGGUAAAGGCCUACCAAGGCGACGAUCAGUAGCGGAUCUGAGAGGAUGAUCGGCCACACUGGGACUGGGACACGGCCCAGACUCCUACGGGAGGCAGCAGUGGGGAAUGUUGGGCAAUGGGCGCAAGUAUGAUCCAGCCAUGCCGAGUGUCUGAAGAAGGCCUUCGGGUUGUAAAGGACUGUUGUCAGUGAAGCGGUACCUGAAGAAUAAGCACCGGCUAACUACGUGCCAGCAGCCGCGGUAAUAC